CUCCUCCGUGGGAAUUCGCCGGAAAGAUGGUUUUUUGGGUUGUUUUUGAUAGAACUUCUAUUUUGGGUAAACAAAAGUGGGUGAGAAUUUCUGUUUUUAGUAAAAAGGUUUGGUUUAAAUCUGGUUUUUCAAAAAGUAGUAACUAGAAAUAGAAUCUCGAAACUCAUGCGAGGGAAAGUUUUUUUAGCUUUCUUUCUCCUCUUCCUAUAUUUUCUAUUCCCUCA
rnacentral:lncRNA from 1 species